UUGGAACCCGGACCACAGAUGUGUUUUGUUUGGCUCAUGUGGAAGCUGAGCUGACACCAAACAAAAGCAGCCCGUCGUUUGGACUGUGUUCUCUGCUUGGCUACCCCUGGAGGCUGAUAUCACCACCAUUCAGAGGUCCAAGAAGAAGCCACCUGCUGGAUUUAAGAAAACUCAGCAGAUGGGGAAGGAACCACAGACCUCUUUGGAAAUGUCAUGGAAAC